ACCGGCGCACGGGUGCGUAACGCGUAUGCAAUCUACCUUUUACAGGGGAAUAGCCCAGAGAAAUUUGGAUUAAUGCCCCAUAGUAUAAUUGAAUGGCAUCAUUUAAUUAUUAAAGUCACAACGGUAAAAGAUGAGCAUGCGUCCCAUUAGUUAGUUGGUAAGGUAACGGCUUACCAAGACAAUGAUGGGUAGGGGUCCUGAGAGGGAGAUCCCCCACACUGGUACUGAGACACGGACCAGACUCCUACGGGAGGCAGCAGUGAGGAAUAUUGGACAAUGGGCGCAAGCCUGAUCCAGCCAUGCCGCGUGCAGGAAGACGGUCCUAUGGAUUGUAAACUGCUUUUAUACAGGAAGAAACACUCCGACGUGUCGGAGCUUGACGGUACUGUAGGAAUAAGGAUCGGCUAACUCCGUGCCAGCAGCCGCGGUAAUACGGAGGAUCCAAGCGUUAUCCGGAAUCAUUGGGUUUAAAGGGUCCGUAGGCGGUUUAAUAAGUCAGUGGUGAAAUCUGGUCGCUCAACGAUCAAACGGCCAUUGAUACUGUUAGACUUGAAUUAUAAGGAAGUAACUAGAAUAUGUAGUGUAGCGGUGAAAUGCUUAGAUAUUACAUGGAAUACCAAUUGCGAAGGCAGGUUACUACUUAUGGAUUGACGCUGAUGGACGAAAGCGUGGGGAGCGAACAGGAUUAGA
rnacentral:rRNA from 1 species